AUUGAACGCUGGCGGCAGGCCUAACACAUGCAAGUCGAGCGGAUGAAGGGAGCUUGCUCCUGGAUUCAGCGGCGGACGGGUGAGUAAUGCCUAGGAAUCUGCCUGGUAGUGGGGGAUAACGUCCGGAAACGGGCGCUAAUACCGCAUACGUCCUGAGGGAGAAAGUGGGGGAUCUUCGGACCUCACGCUAUCAGAUGAGCCUAGGUCGGAUUAGCUAGUUGGUGGGGUAAAGGCCUACCAAGGCGACGAUCCGUAACUGGUCUGAGAGGAUGAUCAGUCACACUGGAACUGAGACACGGUCCAGACUCCUACGGGAGGCAGCAGUGGGGAAUAUUGGACAAUGGGCGAAAGCCUGAUCCAGCCAUGCCGCGUGUGUGAAGAAGGUCUUCGGAUUGUAAAGCACUUUAAGUUGGGAGGAAGGGCAGUAAGUUAAUACCUGGCUGUUUUGACGUUACCAACAGAAUAAGCACCGGCUAACUGCGU
rnacentral:rRNA from 1 species